rnacentral:lncRNA from 1 species
CGCCGCGACCCGAGCCCGGGGAGCCCGGGGAGCCCGGGGAGCCCGGGAGCCGCGGCCGCCGCACACAAAGGCGCGGCCACGCGAGCCGCGGGAGAGCGGGAGGCGGCCCGGGGGACGCGCCCCGCCGGGGCACCGAGGCAGCGCUGCGCGCGGGCCGUGCGCCCGGGGCGCGGGGCGCGGCGCGGGGGCCCGGGCGGCGCGGCGAGUUCAGGUGCGCGGGGCGAGGCUGGGACGGCGGCGGCGGCGGCUGGCCCCGCUCCUCCUCCUCCUCCCGGGCGGACUGAGCAGAGGAGCGGCGGAGACAAGGGGCCCGGCCCCUCCCCUCCUUCCCCCCUCCUGCUCCGCCGCCGGUCCCCUCCCCGCGCCGCCGCCGCUCCGCCCCUCCCACCGCGGGCAGCUGGCGCGCCGCCCGCCCCGCCGGUGCGCUCCCCGGCCCGGCCCGCCCCCGGGCGCGCCGACCCCGCCCCGGCCCGCCCCGGCCCGCCCCGCCCCGCCGCGGCCCCUGCCCCGCGCCCCGCGCCCCGCGCCCCGCGCCCCGCGCAGCCCGGCAGCGCCCGUCGCGCGCGCCGCGGCUCCCCCUCCCGGGCCCCUCUGCUCCCCACCUCGCCCCCCUCCCUCCCUCCCGGUCCUCUUUGUCCCCGAUGCCUCGGAGCGCUCCUCGCUCCCUUCCAAGCCUCGGCCGCCGGCCCGGUGCCCGGUGUGGCCCUCCCAGCCCCCCUGCCGCGCCCCGCGGCGCCCGGCCCCCGGCUCCCGUCGCGGCGUCCCCUCGCCGUCCGCUCCCUUGCCGCCCCUCGCCCCGUUUGUCCCUCGUGGGGCCGGCCCCCGGCCCGCCUGCCCUCCGCCGCCCUCCCGCGCGAAUGGCCCCUGCUCGGCGGCACCUCCCCGGCAGCCAGCCCGCGGGAGGGCCUCCCGGGGGCCGGGGCCGGGCCCCCAGGUACACCUGUGGUGUUCUCCAGGAGGGGUGUUGGGGCCUGACCUUUCACAGUAGGCUCUCCAGCGUGGUGACACCUGCGUAUGUACCUUCACCCAAGAUUACGUUUCUGGAACCAAGCAGGAAAAAUAAACGUCAAUUAGGUGAAAGUGUGUGUAUUUGCUCUUCUCUUAGCCGAAACGUGUGUUUGGAUACCGCCGGAGAGAGCGGUGUGUAUUCAGGGAAGGAACAACUGUUCACAUUGUCCCUGGGUUGA